AGGGUUCGAUUCUGGCUCAGGAUGAACGCUAGCGACAGGCUAACACAUGCAAGUCGAGGGGCAGCACGGGAGUAGCAAUACAACUGGUGGCGACCGGCGCACGGGUGAGUAACGCGUAUGCAACCUACCUAUCAGAGGGGAAUAACCCGGCGAAAGUCGGACUAAUACCGCAUAAAACAGGGGCACCGCAUGGUGAUAUUUGUUAAAGAAAUUCGCUGAUAGAUGGGCAUGCGUUCCAUUAGGUAGUUGGUGAGGUAGCGGCUCACCAAGCCGACGAUGGAUAGGGGAACUGAGAGGUUGGUCCCCCACACUGGUACUGAGACACGGACCAGACUCCUACGGGAGGCAGCAGUGAGGAAUAUUGGUCAAUGGGCGGGAGCCUGAACCAGCCAAGUCCGCGUGAAGGAAGAAGGAUCUAUGGUUCGUAAACUUCUUUUGCGAGGGGAAUAAAGUGCAGGACGUGUCCUUGUUUUGUAUGUACCCUGAGAAUAAGGAUCGGCUAACUCCGUGCCAGCCGCGGC
rnacentral:rRNA from 1 species